rnacentral:rRNA from 1 species
UGCGGAGGGGGCUAGCGUUGUUCGGAAUUACUGGGCGUAAAGCGCACGUAGGCGGCUUUGUAAGUUAGAGGUGAAAGCCCGGGGCUCAACUCCGGAAUUGCCUUUAAGACUGCAUCGCUUGAACACGGGAGAGGUGAGUGGAAUUCCGAGUGUAGAGGUGAAAUUCGUAGAUAUUCGGAAGAACACCAGUGGCGAAGGCGGCUCACUGGACCGUUGUUGACGCUGAGGUGCGAAAGCGUGGGGAGCAAACAGG